rnacentral:rRNA from 1 species
GACGAACGCUGGCGGCGUGCUUAACACAUGCAAGUCGAACGGAAAGGCCCUGCUUUUGUGGGGUGCUCGAGUGGCGAACGGGUGAGUAACACGUGAGUAACCUGCCCUUGACUUUGGGAUAACUUCAGGAAACUGGGGCUAAUACCGGAUAGGAGCUCCUGCUGCAUGGUGGGGGUUGGAAAGUUUCGGCGGUUGGGGAUGGGCUCGCGGCUUAUCAGCUUGUUGGUGGGGUAGUGGCUUACCCAGGCUUUGACGGGUAGCCGGCCUGAGAGGGUGACCGGCCACAUUGGGACUGAGAGACGGCCCAGAGUCCUACGGGAGGCAGCAGGGGGGAAUAUUGCACAAUGGGCGGAAGCCUGAUGCAGCAACGCCGCGGGCGGGAUGACGGCCUGCGGGUUGUAAACCGCUUUCGCCUGUGACGAAGCGGGAGUGACGGUAAUGGGUAAAGAAGCACCGGCUAACUACGUG